AGUGGCCAGAGCCAGUGUUGAGCCCUGUCCUGUGCACCCAGCUGGAGGCCACACUGGACCUGGCCGAGCGGCGCCGCAUCCGCUCGGCUAUCCGGGAGCUGCAGCGGCAGGAGUUGGAGCGGGAUGAGGAGACGUUGGCAUCCAAGCGCUUCCGCCCAGAACGCAGCAGCCACCGACAGGACAACAAGGAGAAUUGGCCACAGUCCCAGCGCCUGGAAGAGGAGCAGCAGGCAGCCCUGGCUGCCUUGUCUGAGCAGCUCGAAGCCAUAACCAGCGUGGAGGAACUGACAAAACUGGUGAGCAACUUUGUGCCAGGGUGGGCUGUUUGCUGGGAUGGAACUUGUGCUGAGGCUGACCCUGCUUCUUUCCUGGGUCCUUCCCUCUUGCAGCUGCGGGCAGCAGGUGAGUAUGAGGAGCGCAAGCUGAUCCGAGCUGCCAUCCGUAAGCUGCGGGCUGAGGAGAUUGAAGGUGAGGCACAAGUCCCGUGUUCUGGGGUGGAUGUCCUGGAGAGUCUGGGAUGUGGGCAGCUCCUUCCUGAACACCAUCUUUGCUCCCAUCCAGCUGCGACCCUGGCUGGAAAUGUGCAGAGCAGCCGGAGGGAUGGCAGCAAGCCCCUCACUGUGCCUGGGGAAACAAAAAUUGUCCAAAGGGACAAUGCUGAAACACCAGCCCUUACUGGAAGUGAAGAGAGCUGUGAUGAGGGCAGCACCAAGCCUCCAGGCAAAGACAAGAGUGGGGAGAGCAGCCAGCAGGACGACACAGAGCCGGCACUGGCUGGGCCAGAGGAGAGUGGGUACCAAGAGGCUGUGGAGCAGCACCCUGCCCAGGAGCCCAAAGGCUCAGUGGCCUGCAAGCAAGAGGAUGUGGUGGAGCAGGAGCAUGUCCCAGAUGAGAUGCAGAAGCUGUGCAGCCAGCAGGGAGGAGACCCCCAGAAAUCCAGUGCUCAGGCUGUGGUUUCGGGGACCCUCGUGCUUCUGGAGCUGCAGCCAGCCCCAGAGCCCAGUCCAGAGCCUGAGGAUGGUGGUGAGGACCUGCAGCAGGGCCACCCCCAGGGGCAGCCCCAGGCAGCCUGGAAGGAAGGGAACCUGGGCAGCCCUGCCAGCGCCCCAGAGCCCAGUGUGGCACAAAGCCCUAGAGGAGAGCAACUCAUCCCAGGCCAGCCCAGUACUGGCAGCCAGGUACAAAACUGGUGGCAGCUGCCACUCCCUUCCUUGCCCAGGGCUGGCAGUCUGUGGGUGA
rnacentral:lncRNA from 1 species